rnacentral:sRNA from 1 species
CCAUUUUCUUCGCCUGUUCGGCGUGCUAAGCGCUUAAUUACAUUAAGAAAUGAAGACUAUUAACGUUUAUAGGCCAUAUCCAUUUACUGUUUACAUGUCAAUGUUUUUGUUUACUAAACCUAAACCUUAGAAGAAAAGUAAAACCUGCUAUAUACUCGCUGUAAUGAGAGGUCUAUUAAAAGAACCUGAAUUGAAAGGAAAACUUGAUUUUUAUGAUUCUAACCAAAUCAUUUGAUUCCACAUCAUUACAAUAUUUUCUGAGAAAAAUAUUAGACAGUCUCAGCAGUGUAAUCACUUAUUUCUCACAAGUUUCGACCUUAGAUUUGACCAUUUUUAGCCAGAGGCCAACAAAGGUGCGAAUUGACUGCCUGCUUUAGGCCAAAUGAUCAAGUAACCGCGAAGUCUGGAGCCCAUAAAAAGUUUUGCAAAUCAUUUUUGUGUGGCCCAAACAAACAAGAGUGCUUAAAAUGCAAAUUGCAUUCAAAUGAACACACAUAUAGACAACCUGAUGCCAUAUAACAAGCGUAUACUCUCUGAGAUCGGCUUGUGAUAUGAUAUCGUAGUCAUUUAAGCCCUGUCAAGAGAUCGCCAAACCGAAAAUGUUGUCUCAUUUGAUAUGCAAGGCAGCUCACUUACGUCUUCUGAGUAAACGCCUCAGUUUAGUUAAACUGUUUAAGAAUUAUCAACGCAAUACCCUUUGUUCAUGCCAUCCAGGAAGUUGAUGACUUGUUGAGUGUGACGCGCCCACUUUUAAGUUCAUUCCAAUUAGCAUUUAGAAAGUCGAGCUUCCAACGAAACCGAGAACACAACAAAACGAAUUGAAAUCGAAAUCGAAAUCCAGUACUUUACGGAAAUGAGACUACACACUCACAUAUAAAAAAGUGAUGAGAGUUUAGAACUCACAAGCAAAUAAAUGUUAAUAGUUGCCCUUUGCUGAAUGCAAAUGAUAUAAAGGUGUGCUAACGCGCAACUGCAACGUUUGGAGCUUGAAAUGCAACUGACAGAUAUCGAAACCGAAAGCUGCGCCCAAA